rnacentral:lncRNA from 1 species
AUCCUCGCCACUUUCUGCAGAAGUUCUGGAAGUCCUCCUGUGUGAUUGUCUUUACAAGCCAUGAUUUAAAAAAAAAAAAAAAUACAGUGAAUUCGGCUGUCCCAUGGCAUCCAGAGCAAAAGCAGGCUCAUAAAAACAUCACAGCGUGUCCUCAUCCACUUUAUUCUCCAGAUCUGGCACUGUGUGACUUCUGGCCCCUCCCCAGUCAAAAUGACCACAAAGGUAAAGGUUUUCAAUCAAUCUGAUAUCAAGGCAGCCGCAACAACACAACUAAAGACACUCGUGGAAAAGAACUUCCUGAAUCGCUUCACAAAGUGGCAAGAAUGAUGGGCAAAUUGGAUGGAUAGUAGUCACUUCAGAAAUACUGAGCACAUUGGAAAUGCAGAGGAUGAAGGAAGUCUUAACCCUAUUUCCAGCUGGUAAUGUUGGUAAACAGAAAGAAUGAAUUUCAAAAGAAAAUUGGCUGUUUCAUGACACCCAAAGGCCGUAGUUAUAUAAGAAGUGUAUUGGAGAAAGACCCACUUGAAGGUUUUCCUGCUAGUAGCUUCCCACACCUGCAAGACAGCCCA